rnacentral:snoRNA from 1 species
AAUCUGUGGUGCGGUACUUUUGAAUUAACAUUUUUAAAUGUUCCCAUGCCUCUAAGAAACUUUCUAUCUUCAUCUGCCUAAAGACAAAAAUCUCUCUUCUCAGUUG